AAAAUAAAAAAUAAUUUCAUAUUAGAUCAAAUCUGAAAAAUUCAUGUUCAAAAAAGACAUACCUAAUUGUACAAGGAUCAGAUCUAGAAGAGCAAAUUUUAAAAUAAAAGCCAAAAUUAGAAGUUGGAUCUCAGCAACAGUUUACAACAACAAAUUUCAACUUCAAAGCCUUAGAAACCCGGAAAAAUAAAGAUAGACCAGCUGCAGUUUUCCACAAAUUUCCCCUCUUAUGCUAUUUUCAUUUUUCCCGUUUUGCAAUUUGUAUGCAAAUCUGUGAAGUUCGAAUAUCGAAUGCAAUGUUGGCACUUGUUUCAGACUCCUGACCAAAUUGGAGCUUCGAAAAUUCAGAACCCGACGCGAACCGAUCAAAAGCCAAUUCAAAUUUACAAAAUGAAAUGUCUGAUCAAAAUCUGAAACUUCUGCAAUCGAUAAAGCCUCAAAUUGACUCUCUUUCAGCUUAUAAACCUAUGUUAAACUCAAAUGAUUCUCUUUUGGCUAAGAAACCUCUGCUAAUGUCACAAUAACGACAACAACAACAACCCAGUAUAAUCCCACUGAGCGGAGUCUGGGGAGGGUAGUAUGUACGCAGACCUUACCCCUACCCUGGGGUAGAGAGGCUGUUUNN
rnacentral:lncRNA from 1 species